rnacentral:rRNA from 1 species
UACGAAGGGGGCUAGCGUUGUUCGGAUUUACUGGGCGUAAAGCGCACGUAGGCGGUUUGUUAAGUCAGGGGUGAAAUCCCGGAGCUCAACUCCGGAACUGCCUUUGAUACUGGCAAGCUAGAGUCCGGAAGAGGUAAGUGGAACUCCUAGUGUAGAGGUGGAAUUCGUAGAUAUUAGGAAGAACACCAGUGGCGAAGGCGGCUUACUGGUCCGGAACUGACGCUGAGGUGCGAAAGCGUGGGGAGCGAACAGG